UCCUCAUAACUGACAGAUGAGGUGAGCUGUGAUGGGUACGUUCAUCCCGUUCUGUCGCCAUGACCUCCAGGAAUGAGCUCUGAAUCCUGAAUCUCUCAAGCUCAAUCAGGAUGAAACAGGUUCAGUGCUGGAGCAGCAGGCAAUGGGAAAAAGACAUUUUGGCCUUUGGCAACGCUGCCGGGUUUAGAGAAAGGAAGAUUUCAAAUGGCUUCCUGGGUUACUCUACUUGUGAGCGAACUGGAAGGAGGCCCUGUUUUGUCGCCCUUUCGAUCAGAAAACCAUCAAGGCGCACUGGCGUAUAAAAAAAGAAGAAUGCUGUUCGCACGUAGCGUGAGGGAUGAUUGCUCUACACCGGGGGAAGCCGUGCAGCUGUCGUUCAGAGAGGUGUUUCCAGGACUGUCUAACCUGAGAAUGGUAAAAUCAAUGCUCAAUCUCAGGUUCGUCAGCCCAUGAAACGCUUUCUCAAUUAAACAAGACAUUGCAAGACCCAGUUCCCCCAGAAAACCAGAAUGUGCCUUUUUAGAGCGGAGCACAGAAAACCUGAGUUUUCUAUAAUCGUUUACAUGCUUUCUACCUGAAACAGUAUUUUUUGCCUGCGUGAGACUGUCGAAUAAGCAAAGAUGAUGGUAGAAGGGUGCGUACAUCAAAUUGGCAAGAUUUUCCGAAGCUUGAGCUGCCACUCUAAGAGAAAUCUACGGUAAUACGAAUAAAGCAUUGAGGAUGCAAACAAAAGGAGCAAAACAAAAACAGCAGCAAUAUUGACUUUAAGACAACUGAAGCAGUUUGAAAUAGAAAAACCACCUCAACCAGUAAUACAUUUGUAGAAGACCCUGCCUUCUGUAAUGUUCUGCUGUCUAAAAAAUAUAACAUGUUGUAAACGUGGGCUGUGAAACAAAGACUUUAAAUAAACUGACUUUGUAACACCUCG